UGCUGGUUUCUUCCUCCAAUGGCAGCAAUAUCCAGCUGGGCCAAGCUGAAGCCAGGAAUCAGGAACUCUCUCUGGGUCUCUCACAUGGGUGGCAGGAACUCGAGUCUUUAAGUGAUUACCCACUACUUCCCAGAUCUAGUAGCAGGGAACUAGAUCAGAAGCAGCACAGCCAGGAUUCUAACCAGCACUCUGAUAAUGAGAAGCUAGCUUUGCAAGAGAUGAGUUAACCUGCUGUGCCAUGACACCUGCCCCGCUGCAAACUUCGGAAACCCUCCUUGGCUUCCCCUCCCGACUGAUUCUGUGUGGAUUUCCUCUCUCUCUGGUGAAGACUGGAAAUUAUCUUCACAUAACCAACUUGGGCAAUUAUAAGUUUUUAGUAUUUAAGGAGAAGUCCAGUUCCUGUUACUCCAUCGUGGAUGUGUGUCCAUUUUACUGCAUGCAGAUUAUAUGUCAAUAACUAUGAUGAUGCACCCUGUCCAUGAGACUGCACCAUAUACCUGGACUCUAAGCCCCCUGCUCAUGUGCCUGAGAAAGCAGCAGAACAUGGCCCAAGUAAUUGGAUCCCUGACACUCAAAUGAGAGAUGUGGAUGGAGUUCUAGACUCCUGACUUUGACCAGAGCAUGGCCAGUUGGGAAAUAUACAGCUCUCUGCUAUGGCCUGGGAAAGCAGUAGAAGAUGGCUCAAGUCCUUGGGCCUCUGCACUCACGUGGGAGACCUGGAAGAAGCUGCUGACUCCUGGCUUUGAAUCAGCGCAGCUCUGGCUGUGGCCACCAUUUAGGGGAGUGAACCAGAGGAUGGAAGACCUCUCUCUCUGUCUCUCCCUCUCUCUGUAACUCUGUCCUUCAAAUAAAUAAAGUAAAUCUUUUUUUAAAAAAAGUGAAUGUGCCUGCUUAUUUCUUAAGAUCCUACAUUCCAUGCUCUUAAGCCUGUCCCCUGCCCCCAUUUUAUCUAGGACCCUCUCCUUGAACUUGGAGGGGUCCUGUGACUUGUUUUUGACCAGAGAAUGUGGCGGAAAUCAUGUGAUACCAGUCCCAGGCUAAACCUUGACAAGACCUAGGGAAUUCUCUAGGGCAAGCUAGCUAUCAUGUAAGAGGUCAAGCUACACAGAGAUGACUAUGCUGUGAGGAAGGUCAAGUUAGCCACACAGAGAGGCCAUGUGGAGAGAGGGAUGCCCAGCCAGCCGUCAGCCAGUCCAGUUGACACCAGGCAUAUGAAUGAAGCAGACUUCUUAGACAUGCAGCUGAGUCGUUCUUUUCCAUGAUGCCAGCUCUUACCACCACCUGACUGCAAGUGAUUGACAGACGUCCUGUGAAAUCUUCCCAACCCAAUCCAGCCCACCUACAGAAAAAUUGCUGCUUUAAGCCACUCAGUUUUGAAACUGUGACACAGCAGUACAUAGCUAUAGUGGAAAGCAAACUGAGACCAUGGAGGCUAGGUGAGCUCCCCAAGGGCAAACACUGUUUAUGAGAGAACCAGGACGAGAGCAAGAGCAACAUUCCUGGAUUUCUGCGCCAGUGUACUUGAGGCCAAGAGUCUCAGAUUUCCUUGGGUACCAGCAUCACCUAAGGAGGAGGUUGCUAAACUCAGAAUCCUGGGCUCCACUCAGAUAUUCUAAUUCAACAGAUUUGAUCAUUUACAUUUCUAACAAGCUCCCAGGGGAUGUUGAUAACCUCAGUCUGCUGACCCCACUUUGAGUAGCCCUGCCUUGAACCAGGUCUGAGCUGAUCUCCCAGCACAGUUAGGAAAACAUUAGCAUCUGCUGGUUUAUUGUUGUGCACCCUUACAAUUCUGGGUUUGUUGCAUUUCCAGGUAAGUAAUUGAAAUGCCCACAGUGACAGGCCUUAUUCAAGAAGUGCCCAAUUGCAGCUGAGCCCAGUUUUAGCUUCUCCUGCUGUAGACUGAAGCCCAUAUGGUCUGAGAGUUAGACACCCUUAUCUGAGCUCUGCUUUCUCUAGGCAUGACAGUGUGGGUUUUGUAACCUUGUUACCAGAAGCAAUUAGGGGAAUCAUCCACAUUUUCAGAUCCAUUUCCCGUGGAGAUACACGUUAGGAAUCUCCCACAGUGAAUUUAAUUAGCAGAAAACGUGGCUCAGCCAGCGACCUGCCGUGCAGAUAAGAGUCGUGACUGCCCAGCGAUAGCGGCUCCCUUUUCUUAAAAAAUGACAAGUUUCCUAAAAGGUGGUGAUGAGACCCAGCCAGACAUCAGGUGGAACUCUCUGCACAGCCCAGUUUCAUGUAACCAAGCAACUCACACUUCUUGCUUCUAUUCAAUAUCAAGAACUCACCUAGGCAGAGAUGCUGGCCAGAAAGGAUAAUGGCUUGCCAAUGACGGCGCUAGGCAUUUCCCCAAUGUACCUGGGCCAUGUUGGCUUCUGGUGUAUUUCUGCAGAU